AAAAAAAAUCUAAAAUGAAAAUGGAAAUUUUACUUAUUCACUUGUUUUAUUUGUCUGAGAAAUGCUAUGGACUUCAUGCCUAUCUUUCUUGAUUUUGUGAUCUAAUACUAGUGUGUGCCGUAUUAUGCAGAAAUAUAUGUUACUAACAUUGGUAUUUGUGUGUUUAUAUUGAACGUUUCCUAUAUCUAGGCUCUAGUAGUUGUAUUGGUGAUACCUAGCAGUCAUGGUGAAUCUUAACACCAACUUCCACAUUAUUGUUUAUAGAGUAUGCCUUUUGUGUUCUUAUGGACAAUGCCUAGGUUUCUUUGUGUUAUUAUUAUAACUGCAAAAGCAAUGUGGUUGCAAGCAGGAUUUAUUGUUUUCUUGUUCUA
rnacentral:misc_RNA from 1 species